rnacentral:rRNA from 1 species
GAUGAACGCUGGCGGCGUGCCUAACACAUGCAAGUCGAGCGUGAACCUUCCAAAUGAGAUUUCGGUCGAGUGAGGAAGGGGAAAGCGGCGGACGGGUGAGUAACGCGUAGGCAACCUGCCCCAUACUGAGGGACAGCCUCGGGAAACCGGGAUUAAGACCUCAUAAAGCCAAGAGUCUACAUGGGCAUUUGGCCAAAGAUUUAUCGGUAUGGGAUGGGCCUGCGUCUGAUUAGCUGGUUGGUAGGGUAACGGCCUACCAAGGCAACGAUCAGUAGCCGACCUGAGAGGGUAAUCGGCCACAUUGGAACUGAGACACGGUCCAAACUCCUACGGGAGGCAGCAGUGGGGAAUAUUGCACAAUGGGCGAAAGCCUGAUGCAGCAACGCCGCGUGAGCGAAGAAGGCCUUUGGGUCGUAAAGCUCUGUCCAAGAGGAAGAAAAAAUGACGGUACUCUUGGAGGAAGCCCCGGCUAACUACGUG